GACGGGGACCCGCACAAGCGGUGGAUGAUGUGGUUUAAUUCGAUGCAACGCGAAAACCUUACCUACCUUUGACAUGUACGGAAUUCGCCAGAGAUGGCUUAGUGCUCGAAAGAGAACCGUAACACAGGGUGCUGCAUGGCUGUCGUCAGCUCGUGUCGUGAGAUGUUGGGUUAAGUCCCGCAACGAGCGCAACCCUUGUCAUUAGUUGCUACAUUUAGUUGGGCACUCUAAUGAGACUGCCGGUGACAAACCGGAGGAAGGUGGGGAUGACGUCAAGUCCUCAUGGCCCUUAUAGGUAGGGCUACACACGUCAUACAAUGGAUGGUACAAAGGGUCGCCAACCCGCGAGGGGGAGCCAAUCCCAUAAAACCAUUCGUAGUCCGGAUCGCAGUCUGCAACUCGACUGCGUGAAGUCGGAAUCGCUAGUAAUCGUGGAUCAGCACGCCGCGGUGAAUACGUUCCCGGGCCUU
rnacentral:rRNA from 1 species